rnacentral:pre_miRNA from 1 species
UCUAGUUUGGUAGCCAAGGAUGACUUGCCUGAUUCUUCCAAUUAAGCGGUUUCAGAUUAAUCAUAUUGAUUAAUUAGUUUUUUAAAUGAAGCCAUUGAUGGGUUACCAGGCAGUCACCUUGGCUAACUUGACAGUCUCUUGUCUCUCAUGCUAGGC